rnacentral:rRNA from 1 species
UAGGGAAUCUUCCGCAAUGGACGAAAGUCUGACGGAGCAACGCCGCGUGAGUGAAGAAGGAUUUCGGUUCGUAAAACUCUGUUGUUAGGGAAGAAAAAAUGUAUAGUAACUAUAUACAAAAGAGACGGUACCUAACCAGAAAGCCACGGCUAACUACGUGCCAGCAGCCGCGGUAAUACGUAGGUGGCAAGCGUUGUCCGGAAUUAUUGGGCGUAAAGCGCGCGCAGGUGGUUUAGAAAGUCUGAUGUGAAAGCCCACGGCUCAACCGUGGAGGGUCAUUGGAAACUAAUAAACUGGAGUGCAGGAGAGAAAAGUGGAAUUCCUAGUGUAGCGGUGAAAUGCGUAGAGAUUAGGAGGAACACCGGUGGAGAAAGCGGCUUUUUGGCCUGCAACUGACACUGAGGCGCGAAAGCGUGGGGAGCAAACAGG